ACGCUGGCGGGAUGCUUUACACAUGCAAGUCGAACGGCAGCAUAGAGAGCUUGCUCUCUGAUGGCGAGUGGCGAACGGGUGAGUAAUAUAUCGGAACGUGCCCAGUAAUGGGGAAUAACUAGCCGAAAGGUUAGCUAAUACCGCAUACGACCUACGGGUGAAAGCAGGGGAUCUUAGGACCUUGCGUUAUUGGAGCGGCCGAUAUCUGAUUAGCUUGUUGGUGGGGUAAAAGCCUACCAAGGCAACGAUCAGUAGCUGGUCUGAGAGGACGAUCAGCCACACUGGAACUGAGACACGGUCCAGACUCCUACGGGAGGCAGCAGUGGGGAAUUUUGGACAAUGGGGGAAACCCUGAUCCAGCCAUCCCGCGUGAGUGAAGAAGGCCUUCGGGUUGUAAAGCUCUUUCGAAAGUGAAGAAAACUUAUUUCGUAAUAUGUUAUAAGUAUGACGGUAACUUUAGAAGAAGCACCGGCUAACUACGUGCCAGCAGCCGCGGUAAUACGUAGGGUGCGAGCGUUAAUCGGAAUUACUGGGCGUAAAGCGUGCGCAGGCGGUUUUGUAAGUCAGAUGUGAAAUCCCCGAGCUUAACUUGGGAACUGCGUUUGAAACUACAAGACUAGAGUGUGUCAGAGGGGGGUAGAAUUCCACGUGUAGCAGUGAAAUGCGUAGAGAUGUGGAGGAAUACCAAUGGCGAAGGCAGCCCCCUGGGAUAACACUGACGCUCAUGCACGAAAGCGUGGGGAGCGAACAGGAUUAGAUACCCUGGUAGUCCACGCCCUAAACGAUGUCAACUAGUUGUUGGUGGAGUAAGAUCCAUGAGUAACGUAGCUAACGCGUGAAGUUGACCGCCUGGGGAGUACGGUCGCAAGAUUAAAACUCAAAGGAAUUGACGG
rnacentral:rRNA from 1 species